AAAGCUUUGAAAAGAGAGUUAAACAGUACGUGAAAUUGCUGAAAGGGAAACGCUUGAAGUCAGUCGCGUCGGCCGGAACUCAGCCUUGCUUUUGCUUGGUGCACUUUCCGGUUGACGGGUCAGCAUCGAUUUUGACCGUCGGAAAAGGGCUGGAGUAAUGUGGCACCCUCGGGUGUGUUAUAGACUCUGGUCGCAUACGGCGGUUGGGAUCGAGGAACGCAGCGCGCCGUAAGGCAGGGGUUCGCCCACUUUCGCGCUUAGGAUGCUGGCAUAAUGGCUUUAAACGACCCGUCUUGAAACACGGACCAAGGAGUCUAACAUACCUGCGAGUGUUUGGGUGGAAAACCCGAGCGCGUAAUGAAAGUGAAAGUUGAGACCCCUGUCGUGGGGGGCAUCGACGCCCGGACCUGACGUUCUCUGAAGGAUCCGCGGUAGAGCAUGUAUGUUGGGACCCGAAAGAUGGUGAACUAUGCCUGAAUAGGGUGAAGCCAGAGGAAACUCUGGUGGAGGCUCGUAGCGAUUCUGACGUGCAAAUCGAUCGUCAAAUUUGGGUAUAGGGGCGAAAGACUAAUCGAACCAUCUUAAGUGAAC
rnacentral:rRNA from 1 species